UAGGAAAAUGACAGUAUCUUCAAUAAAUAGUGUUGAGAAAACUAUAGCCACAUGCAGAGCAAUGAGUCUCUCAUCUUACUCCACAUAUAUAAAUCAACUGAAAAUAUAUUAAUACUUAAAUGUAAGGCCUGAAACUCUGAAACUACUACAAAAAAUAUAGACUGAAAGCCCCGUAACAUUGGUUUCAACAGUAAUUUUUUUUAAUUUAACCUCAAAAUCCCAGGGAACUAAAGGAAAAAUAGAUGAGUCAGAUUACUUCAUAUUAAAAAGUUGCUGUACAGAAUCUGAUAUAAUCAACAAGACAAAUGGGAGAACAUUUUUGCAAACCAUACUUGUGACAAGGGGUGAAUAUCAAGAUCAUGUAAGAAAGUGACUAUACAAUAAAAAAACAAAUAACUAUGAAAAAUGAGCAAAAGGCUUAAAUAUUUUAAAAAGACAUACAUAUGGCCAAGAGAUAUUUUAAAAUGCUCAAUUACACUUAUUAUCAGAGAAAGGCAAGCCAAAAAAUCUAUGAGAUAAAAAGUCACUCAUAUUAGAAUGACUCUUAUUAAAAAGAAAAAAAAGUGUUGGUAAAGAUGUGAAGUAAAAGGAAUGCUUGCACACUGCUAGUCUGAGUGUAAAUGAGAACAGCCAUUAUGAAAACCGAAAUAGAGAUUUCUCAAUAAAUUUAAAAUAAAACUGCCAUAUAAUGCAGCAAUUUCACUAUAGGAUAUAUAUAUAUUUAAAAACAAAUGAAAUCAGAAUGAGAAAUAUUUGUAUUUCUAUGUUGUCUGCAACACUCUUCAUAAUAGCCAAAAUAUAGAAUCAACAGUUCAACAUCUAAUGAUUAAAUACUGACAAAGUAGUAUAUAUAUAAAAUUUAUCUAUUUAUCUUUUAAUAAGCCAGGAACAGAAAGAAAAUUUUAUGAUUUCACCUAAACAUGAAUGAUAUAAAACUUAAAUUCACUGAAGCACAGAAUAAAAUUGUAACCACCAGAUGCCAAGGUAUCUAAAAGAGGGCUUUAGAAAGAUGUUUGUCAAAGAAUAAUACAUAAUUAUAGUUAGAUAAAAGUAAUAUAUUCAAAAGACUUGUUGUACAGCAUGGUGUCUAUAGUUAAUAAUAAUGUAUUUUUGAAUAAUGCUAGGACAAUGUCAUGUGCUCUCACCACAAAAAUGUUAACUAUGUGAGGUACAGCAUUAAUUACCUAAAAUUAAGUUUGACAAUGUAUAUAUAUACUUCAAAACAUCAUGUUUUACAGAAUACAUGCUUUAUCUGUCAAGUUGAAAAAUAUAUAUUUAAAACAUUAUAGAAGGAUAUCAAUUUUUUCAAAUAUUCUCUGUCUUUGUCAUUAACUUGGCUAAAUGGUAUCAAAAGUAUAUAGUUUUGUGCUGUCUUGUCAUUUAAUUUUUCAGUCAUAACCAUAGGAACUCUGACAUUUAACAGCAUGUUCUGAACUCAGUACCGUGCAUGGGAGGAGCCAACGUACAUUAGGGCUUUUAUUUUAAGUUUAAGACAGCAGAAGUUUUUGGUGCUAAUUGCAAUGGUAUGAAAGACAUUAAAAGGGUAGGUGUUGUUUAUGACCUAAAGAUUGGCCACUGUUUGAACACCGUAAACAAGUUUGCAUGCAAAAUAACAGGAAAUGUUUUAACCUGAAAGCCAUUACAACUUCGUCUCCAAAAUUUUUCCAGAGAAAAUUACCAGAGUUGCCUACAGUGAAGUGACUAAAAAUAAAAACUGUAGACUGAAAUUCACCCACUUCAAAAAUUGUGAGUGAAAAAUGUCUCCAAAUUGUAAUAUCAAUAUGAAAAAUAAACAUUAUUUCAACACUAAACAUGUAAACACAUAAAUAGAAUGGUUAUAACAUUAUUCACAUUUGUAGGGUUUCUCUCCCAUUGAAUUAUCUUGUUUAGUAAGAGUUGAGGACUGGCUAAAAGUGUUCCCACUUUCUUCACAUUUGUAGGGUUUUUCUCCAGUACGAAUUUUCUUACGUCUAGUAAAGUCUGAGAAUUGAUUAAAAGCAUUGUCACAUUCUUCACAUUUAUAGAGUUUGUCUUCAGUAUAAACUAUCUUAUUUUGAGUAAGGUCUCAAAACCAGUUAAAAGCUUUGUCACAUUUUUUAUAUGUUUAGGGUUUCCUUUAGUAUUAAUUAUCUUAUGUUCAGUAAGGUUUAAGGACCAGUUAAAAGCUUUGCCACAUUCUUCACAUUUGUAGGGUUUCUCUCUAAUAUAAAUUAUCUCACAUUCAGUAAGAUUUGAGAACCCGUUAGAAGCUUUGCCACAUUCUUCACAUUUGUAGGGUUUCUCUCUAAUAUAAAUUAUCUCACAUUCAGUAAGAUUUGAGAACCCGUUAGAAGCUUUGCCACAUUCUUCACAUUUGUAAAGUAUCUCUCUAAUAUGAAUUAUCUUGUGUUCAGUAAGUUUUGAGAAACACUUAAAAGUUUUGCCAAAUCCUUUGAAUUUGUAGCGUUCCUCUCCACUAUAAAUUAUUUUGAGUAAGGUUUGAGGAUUGGUUAAAAGUUUUGCCACAUUCUUCACAUAUGCAGGGUCUGUCUCUAGUAUAAAUUAUCCUAUGUGUAUUAAGGUUUAUAAAAUGGUUGAAAGCUCUGCCACAUUAUUCACAUUUCUAAGGUUUCUCCCCAGUGUGAAUUAUCAUAUGUUUAGUAAGGGUUGAAGGAUGGUUAAAAAGCUUUGGCACAUUCUUCACAUUUGUAGGGUUUCUCUCCAGUAUGAAUUGUUUUGUCUAGUAAGGUGUGAGGAUUGCUUAAAAGCUUUGGUACUUUCUUCACAUUUGUAGGUUUCUCUCUGGUAUGAAUUGUUUUAUGUCUAAUAAGGUAUGAGCACUGAAUAAAAGCUUUGCCACAUUCUUCACAUUUGUAGGGUUUCUCUCCAGUAUGAAUUGUUUUGUGUCUAGUAAGGUGUGAGGACUGGUUAAAGGCU
rnacentral:lncRNA from 10 species